rnacentral:lncRNA from 1 species
AAAUGGAGGAGCACAACUCAUAUUAACACCAGUUUCUGUUUAUAUAGGUCAUAGUAAGCGAUUGGUGUGGUGGUAUCCUUAUAGGUGAAUUAAGGCAAAGAACGACAUGGCUCAGAAGGGCAUUGUUGAAAAGAGUGAAUGCUGGCAGGCGCAGCUUUUCUAAAGUCUGCAUGUCCUACUACACUGGCCAAGGUUGCCUCUUCCUGCAUCUGUGAAAGAUUUAUCAUCAAUAACCACAUCAGCACUAUGCAGAUGUUCUUCUUCAUUAUCCCUAUGCAAGGGAGGGAGAUCACAAUACUGGAGGAGAGCUUAUGAGAGCUAGAAGCUUCUGAUCUACCUGAGAAGAGAACUCCACUUACAAGCCCACUGCUUUGCAUAAUACAGAAUAUAUCAUGCAUAGCACUGAUGGUUAAAAGGAUCAAGAAAAUAUAGCGUAAAUGUGUCAAAGUAGGU